UGCCAGCAGCCGCGGUAAGACGAACCGACCGAACGUUAUUCGGAAUUACUGGGCGUAAAGCGCAUGUAGGCGGAACAGAAAGUUAGAAGUGAAAUCCCUGGGCUCAACCUAGGAAUUGCUUUUAAAACUUCUGUUCUGGAAUUAAGGAGAGGAAAAUGGAAUAUCCAGUGUAGAGGUGAGAUUCGUAGAUAUUGGAUGGAACACCAGUGGCGAAGGCGAUUUUCUGGACUUAUAUUGACGCUGAGAUGCGAAGGCAUGGGUAGCAAACGGGAUUAGAUA
rnacentral:rRNA from 1 species